CAUCACCACAUCACGCCACAUCACGCACCAGACGGAAGCCAACGUUUUAGGGAUGUCAGAGUUUUGGGCUAGAACCGGACGGAACCAAGCCUCACCACACACAAAGCAACCGAACUACGCGAUUGCUUCCUAAAGGCCGUACGAGUGGUUUUCAAUGUUCGGAGUUUUGGGGCUUUGGGCGAUAUGCGAGAACCAUUAACAUGAGAAGAAGAGCACGUGUACAGACGUGGAUAAAUCUGAUGCUGAGAGUUUGAGAAAAUAUUCAAUGAUUGUUGGGAUAAUCUGCUUACUGUUUUUUAAGAUUCUCAGUACUCUCGUGUCACUGACUGUGAACGCUCGUGUGAAGAGGACGGGACACGCUCAGAUCGGUACGUGUUCAUGUGCAAGUUAAUGACGAUAAAGGUUCUUCCGCGUUUGUUUGGUUGACGUUUUCCAGGUUCUUCUUUAGAUCCCACGCAGAAAUCGGUACGUCAUCAAAUGUUUCAGAUUGAACUGUGAACAUGAUGAUGGUAAGUGUAAACGUGCCCUAAUUAAUUGAAGUGUUUCACUGAAUACCCAUCAGUGAAGGGCGGCGCGGCAGCACUGCGUUCUAGUGUUUUUGACACCCUAUAGAAGGUUGUUAACAAUUCGGGCGUAGAAAAAGAAGUAAAUAAAGCUAUUUGCCCUCGAACCUUACUGCGAGUGAAGAACAGUUCAACGCGGAGUGAAGCAAGAAAUUCCCAAUUGAAGGGCAACAUUCUUCUGGAGGAAGAGAAGAUUCAUGGUUUCUGGCUCCAAAGGGGAUUCGGUAGUGGAAGAGCAUAAAUCUGUACACACGAAUUAGGCAUAUAGCUUUUUUAGUCGUGAAAUAAAUUCUGGUUUGAAAUGUGCAUAUAAAAUUGGGAGAAUCGUAACGCAAAUAGCGGACCGUCAUCUCGGGAGCCUCGUGAAUAUCAGUGCUUUUGCAAUACUCGUAAAGUGAUAUGGUAUAAAGUGGAUGGUGGUAUACAGAGAUGAAACAUCGAGAAGUCAAAUUCCUUUUGUAGGGUUUAACGAGGGUCGAUGCGGAGGAUAAAACGAAGUAUAUUGUACGGAUGUUUAGUGCUUUGUACUUAUCGCAGUGCUAGUUAGCUGGUGUGAUAAAAUACCAAGAUUUUUAAACAGACGAAGGUCACAUAAAAAAGGAAUAUUGGCAUGGAACAGUGUGGUAAAAUAUUGUGGUGUCCAUUGGAUAAUGACAUUGACAAUUUAACCAGAACCUAAGUACUGAUGCAGCUUUGGCGAAAACGAGAGAAGGGCACAAUAAUACGCAAACGUAUAGCCAGCUCCUGACGAGAAUAUAUUAGGUGUAAAUGUUCGUUGGUGGAGAGAAAUUGCGAAAAAUAAAUCCCCUCGAGACGGAAGGAAUCUUCAGAAAUCUGCUCGUUAUCAAACUAGGCUAACCAUUUUCUGGAUUUCCGACUACUUCAGACUAUUUUGCGUGACCAUAGAAUGCCGUCAAAUAGCUCUGCCGCAUGAACGUGUUCCCCAAUUACCAGUCUGUUUUUACCCCAUUCAAAUGCUCAGUUAGCGACUGGUUAUUCUUGAUAUUCAUGACAUGGUGGGAUUUGGAAUGCAAAUACAAGAAUAUAACGAUGAGGUGCGGUCUCGAUGAUAACGCAGAAGGGAUAUACCACGCCGGAUAUAGCGGGUGAAACCAUCCACCCGGGCUUACCCGUUUAUCGUCAAUUUGCUGAACGGUGACCAUCCGGCAGACUAUUGGCACAGUCACUGCUCUCCACAAUGCUGGCCUGCCGAUCGACUUUCGGAUAAAAAUAGCUUUAAAUCAGUACCAGGACUGGAACUGAUCGGAUGAUAUCAUUUUGGGAUGAUGAUAAGAAGAAUCAAAGGAUCAACACUAAAACGAAAAACAAUAAAAAUGACAGAAGAAAA